rnacentral:rRNA from 1 species
CGGCGAACGGGUGAGUAACACGUGGGUAAUCUGCCCUCGGUACUGGGAUAGCCCGGGGAAACCCGGAUUAAUACCGGAUGGCCCUUUGAGUCCUCGGACUUGAAGGAAAAGGUAGCUUCGGCCUCCGACCGAGGAUGAGCCCGCGGCGGAUUAGCUUGUUGGUGGGGUAACGGCCUACCAAGGCUCCGAUCCGUAGCUGGUCUGAGAGGACGAUCAGCCACACUGGGACUGAGACACGGCCCAG